GCUGCACACGAUAGAUUCCAUCUUAAACCGUGCUUCCGUGCUGCAGCAGCGGCCCGCGGUUCCUCCUAAGUCUUAAGCCGCGUACACACUUGUAACAUUUGUGCGUAACAUCCUUUGAUGCGGCCAAAUUUACCGACAACUGGUGGAACGGUGUUACGGCGUUACAGAAAAUGUUACAAGUGUGUACGCGGCUUAAGACACGAAGUAGAGAAGAAUAUGUAUCUUCUUAAAUCGUGGGUUUCUCUGUCGAGGUAGCCAAUUAAUAUUUUAAAGUAUUUGAGGUAACCUAGGUAUAUCAUGGUAUAUCCUAAUCUGUUUCUCACCAAUUCCAUUAUCACAUUCCUUUUUUUUGCCGCCAUAACCACAUUAUCGGCUGUAUAUUCUUUGGUUCGCGUCUCGAGAUCAUUAUUCACGAAUUACGAUUACGCGUUUAUUUGAUUAACCAGUUUGUAACUACAGUUCGUUCCAACGAACCUUGAUCGCAGUUUCAAAAGAAUACCACCAGACAGUUUUCAAAAUGUGGGGUGACGAUGAAGGUGGGUUUAAUGUCACAAUGACGCAAAGUCCAACAACAGCAUCUGGAGUUGAACCAAAA